GCCUGUCCCAGUUCGGACUGGAGUCUGCAACCCGACUCCACGAAGUUGGAUUCGCUAGUAAUCGCGCAUCAGCCAUGGCGCGGUGAAUACGUUCCCGGGCCUUGUACACACCGCCCGUCAAGCCAUGGGAGCCGGGGCGCCUGAGGUCCGGGACCGCGAGGACCGGCCUAGGGCGAAACUGGUAACUGGGGCUAAGUCGUAACAAGGUACC
rnacentral:rRNA from 1 species